GAAGGAGGAACCAGUCUCUGAGCUGUGCGACCCCCAAACUGCUGGCUUCUCCGACCUCAACUGUGUUGUGGAACCGCCAGGGGGCGGCGCGACCCUGUUGGUCGCCAAGGGGAUCUCCGUGCUUCCUCGUCGAGGCUGUCUGUGACCUGUCGCUUCCAAUGCCUGGUCCUUGCAUGGCCAACGACCUCUACCCUCUCCCAGAGGCCUUAAGCUUGUAACCUGUCCCCUCCUGGACUGUGAAAAGAACAUAUAGCCCGACCUCCCUGCCAACAAGCUGUACCAUUGGGAAGAGGAGAGCCCAACGGUAGAAGCUCAUCAAUGAUUCCCAGCCUCUGUUUCCAUCAGAAUUGCUUGAUGAAGCUCCUUUAACACAAAUAGAUUUACUCACAUUCCUUAACUGUAAAAGGUGUGCAUGUGCCAGCAGGGGGUUCUGGAAUCAUGUACCUUUGUCAGAGCUCCCCCAUUUAAUUCUGAUACAAUUCCACGUAUUACCUAAAGAGAACCACUACUGAUGCGUUGGGUUUUUGUUUGUUUGUUUGUUUGUUUUGGUUGAAUGUGGUAGCUCAGCCCUGGGUAUUUGCCCUUGUGAAUAUGCCCAUGUCACAAAUGUGUGAAUGUUGGGUAUCUGUGUGAUUGG
rnacentral:lncRNA from 1 species